rnacentral:rRNA from 1 species
CCUACGGGUGGCAGCAGUGGGGAAUAUUGCACAAUGGGGGAAACCCUGAUGCAGCGACGCCGCGUGAGUGAAGAAGUAUUUCGGUAUGUAAAGCUCUAUCAGCAGGGAAGAUAAUGACGGUACCUGACUAAGAAGCCCCGGCUAACUACGGGCCAGAAGCCGCGGUAAUACGGAGGGGGCAAGCGUUAUCCGGAUUUACUGGGGGUAAAGGGGGCGGAGGUGGGGAGGCAAGUCAGAUGGGAAAGCCCGGGGGUCAACCCCGGUACUGCAUUUGAAACUGUACAGCUGGAGUGAAGGAGAGGUAAGCGGAAUUCCUAGUGUAGCGGUGAAAUGCGUAGAUAUUAGGAGGAACACCAGUGGCGAAGGCGGCUUACUGGACUUUAACUGACACUGAGGCACGAAAGCGUGGGGAGCAAACAGGAUUAGAUACCCUUGUAGUC